rnacentral:rRNA from 1 species
AUUGACGCUGGCGGCAUGCUUAACACAUGCAAGUCGAACGGUAACGCGGGGGUAACCCUGGCGACGAGUGGCGGACGGGUGAGUAAUGCUUAGGAAUCUGCCCAACAGUGGGGGACAACCCGAGGAAACUCGGGCUAAUACCGCAUACGUCCUAUGGGAGAAAGCGGGGGACCUAAGGCCUCGCGCUGUUAGAUGAGCCUAAGCCCGAUUAGCUAGUUGGCGGGGUAAUAGCCCACCAAGGCGAGAUCGGUAGCUGGUCUGAGAGGAUGAUCAGGCCACACUGGGACUGAG